GUGCCAGCCGCCGCGGUAAUACGGAGGGGGCUAGCGUUGUUCGGAUUCACUGGGCGUAAAGGGUGCGUAGGUGGCGGGGUAAGUUGGAUGUGAAAGCUCGGAGCUCAACUCCGAAAUGGCAUUGGAAACUACCUUGCUCGAGGGUUGGAGGGGGGACUGGAAUGCUUGGUGUAGCAGUGAAAUGCGUAGAUAUCAAGCGGAACACCAGUGGCGAAGGCGAGUCCCUGGACAACUCCUGACACUGAGGCACGAAAGCUAGGGGAGCAAACAGGAUUAGAUACCCGUGUAGUCC
rnacentral:rRNA from 1 species